AAUUUGACUGUUAUGACUUGACGCGACUGUACCUAUUUAGACGGGACUGGACUUGACGGGCUCGGUGUGAAAUGACCCCUAAAUGGUGUAUAGCUGCCAUUUAGGAUCACAGAGUUGCUUCAGUUGAGUAACUUUAAAUUUUGAAAUUAUGCCUGUGAGACAAAUUAUAAAUUUGACACGGAUUAUCAAAUGGAAAAGGCAGUUUAUAGUUAUAGAUGUGUAUAAAAACAGCUGUGUUCGGUUUUAUAUCAUCAGAGUGGAGAAAAACUGUUUGUUGUAUUUAAUUAAACAAAAUUUUUUAUAUGAUUUUAUCUUCAUUUAUAUACCAUAUUUUCGAUAUAUUUUUUUAUUCAUAAACACAUUUUUUGUUGAUUAUUCUUAGUAGAUUAAAUGCAUUGUACUCAUUUUACAAUUGAUAAAUUUAUUUAGAUUAUUUAAGAAUACAGCGUGUUUUUCUGAAUUAUAGAAUUAACUAAUCAAAUAAUGUGAAUAGUUAUCAUUGAUAAGUUUAAAAUAUUUAAUUUGUUUUCUUUUCCCUAGAGAGUGGCAUUAUUAGCUGUGCGAGAAAAUCUGGUUUAUAUCUAACUUUUUGCCAUAGAAAACCGGUAACCAAGAGCGCUAGAAUAAACAACGAAUACAGAAGAGAAAAAUAAAUAAAAUUCUAUCCAAUAUUUUCAGCAGGCGUGUUGCGCUGAAGAUUUUAAAAACUGGAAGAAUUUCCUUUCACCAGAUUAUUCGAGUACAAAGAUGAGAAGCAUUUCGUUAAUCGUGACCCUGGUCAUGCUGGUUACAGUAAGC
rnacentral:lncRNA from 1 species